UACGGAGGGUGCAAGCGUUGUUCGGAAUUACUGGGCGUAAAGCGCGCGUAGGCGGCUCUUUAAGUCUCACUGUGAAAGACCGGGGCUCAACCCCGUGCGAGCAGGGGAUACUGGAGGGCUGGAGACCGGUAGAGGCCAGCGGAAUUUCGGGUGUAGCGGUGGAAUGCGUAGAUAUCCGAAAGAACACCGGAGGCGAAGGCGGCUGGCUGGGCCGGGUCUGACGCUGAGACGCGAAAGCGUGGGGAGCAAACAGG
rnacentral:rRNA from 1 species